GGGGUUGUGGCUCAGUGAUAAAGCACUCACCUAGCAUGUGUGAGGUCCUGAGUUCGAUCUCAGCACCA
rnacentral:tRNA from 1 species